rnacentral:rRNA from 1 species
CCUACGGGUGGCUGCAGUGGGGAAUAUUGGACAAUGGGCGAAAGCCUGAUCCAGCCAUGCCGCGUGUGUGAAGAAGGCCUUCGGGUUGUAAAGCACUUUCAGUGGGGAAGAAAGCCUUGGGGCUAAUACCCUCGAGGAAGGACAUCACCCACAGAAGAAGCACCGGCUAACUCCGUGCCAGCAGCCGCGGUAAUACGGAGGGUGCGAGCGUUAAUCGGAAUUACUGGGCGUAAAGCGCGCGUAGGCGGUCUGAUAAGCCGGUUGUGAAAGCCCCGGGCUCAACCUGGGAACGGCAUCCGGAACGGUCAGGCUAGAGUGCAGGAGAGGAAGGUAGAAUUCCCGGUGUAGCGGUGAAAUGCGUAGAGAUCGGGAGGAAUACCAGUGGAGAAGGCGGCCUUCUGGACUGACACUGACGCUGAGGUGCGAAAGCGUGGGUAGCAAACAGGAUUAGAUACCCCAGUAGUC